GUCUGCAGUGCCCCUCGCGUCCUCCAUGAGCAGCACAGCCACGUGGUGACAGGGGCUUAUGAAUGGCCUGUGGUCACUCCGUGGUUGGGCCAUCACAGGGGCACUGUCCUGGUGACCCUGAGAGCCUCACGCACCAGCCUGGGAAGAACACCCCAGCCAUCACCCGCCUCCACCAUCUGCUCAGGGCCCAACAGUUUGCCUGGGUUUUGUCUCACCAAGUUCAUAUGAAGAUGGACAGCACCCACUCUUCUUUUCUGAAGUGGCUCCCCAACACCAGGAGAUGGGACCGAGGUGACUGCCCACUCCUCAAAAGCCCUGGUCACUGCUCAGCCCCACACCCUUCUCGACUCACCCUGAUGCAGGCUCAGUGGGAGUGAGAGCCCUUCCGAGGCUGCUCAGCCCCUGCCCCUCCUGUCCGGCCACCUCAGCUCCAGCUCUGGGGGUGCACCCUCUCUUCCUUGGCCCUCCUUGUCAGAGCUCUGUCCCCCAGAGAACCAGCUCCCCGGAUCACCUACUCUGCUAGGUGCUUAAUCCUGAACUUUUGAGCUCAUCAUUCAUUAUAAUACUUAUUUUCAUUUCUGCUUAAUUUUGUAAAACAGAUUCAGGUCGCCAAUGUCCUUGUCAGAGAAUUGCUCCAGUUCUUACAGCUCUGUUGUCAUCACUAUUUCUUACUACCCUUGGCAGGUUCUUUUCCCCUCCUACCCAUCAGUGAUUUGGGGGGGGCUCUCUGGUAGUUUGAAAGUGGUUUCACUUCUAACCUCUGUUCUUCCCUUUGCUACUGGUCUUUAAUUUUCUGCAUUAUUGUCAUGGAAUAUCCUCAUUGAGAUAGUUGCUUACGUGGACCAGUUUUCCAACCUGGUGCCAGCGUCACCCCUCGUGGAAGUGGGGUGGGGCGUCUUUGUGAGGUCCUGGGCCUUCCUGCCUUCUGGUGACACUGCAGGGGGUCGGGAGUCACGCAUCCCUGUGGUCUCCUCCUCACCCGCCCACCCACUCGGCCCACGCCUUCUUGCUAUUUCCUCACUGGAGAAGUGGUCAGACACUGUAUUCUAAGUGUGCCCAUGGGGCACGGUGGCUCCCCUACUUGCAGACCUGAGUUCUGAGAGCUGGAUCUGGGGGGUCCUCCAAGGAAAUCAUCAUUGAAAGUGGUACAGUUAAGAGAUGGAGAAAACAGCAGUUCAUAGUUGCAAGGAUGUUUUCUCUUUAGCUUAUUGUUCAUUUAUUAAUUUUACUGUUCCAGAGAUAAAAGCAGUAUUUCCUCUCUCCUCUGUGGCACCACGGGGCCAUCUGCGAGCUGCUUCCCCGUUCCCCUGCUUCCCCAGAAUGAAGAGCCCUCCUUGCAGGAGGGGAGGAGCUGCCUCCUGGGGAAGACCAUUCUCUGGGCCCUGAAUGUGGACGUGGGUGGUGGCCACGGUGGUGAGCCCUGCCCAGAGAAGCUGACAUACACACAGGUCACCUGGGAGGACAUAGGGUGGUCUGGAGUGACCCCACUGGUGGUGACAGGCCCAAGAGGCCCCAGUGACUAGCCCUCGCAGAUCUCUGGAGAGAGCAACAGGUGUGGCCUUUGUGAGGGAGUGAGGAGGACCCAUCGGCAUUCCCUGGCAGAGGGUCCCUGGUCACCCACGCAGACAGCAGCAUGAGGGAGUUCACCCCAGUCCUGGGGGAGCAGAACCGGGGAGCAAUCAGGUUAAUUCAAGCAGAAACAGAAUGUACUAGAAGGAUAUCAGGAGGAUAAACAGAAGAACAGAAACUGGGUCGGGACCACAGUCGGUGGCAGCUGGGGACACGUGGGCCGUAUCCCAGGGCCAGGCCCCACCCAGACCUUCCUGUCGGAGUCUCAUGGAAGCCUCGGCCACUGAGGGACAUGGGCCAGUGGACCCCUGCCCUGGGGCAGAGUGGGCACCAUGCAUUUCCCCAUGUCACCCUCCUCUGGAGUCCUGUGGUGCCCCUGUCCCCGUGGCUCCCCCGGCUCAGCGACGGUGGGCAGUGGGGGUCAUGUGUGCCCUGCAGGUGUCUCAGACAGUGCCUCAGGGGAGUAGGACUCCAGAGGAUGCAGGCACAUCCUUGGUGGUGGGGUGGGGGGCCGUGGGGGCUCAGGGUCGCUUCUGGGUGAGCUCAGGACUCAGGGCAGGCGCCAAGUGCAUGGGCAGCAGAAAUAACGGGGCUCCCAGUGAAGGGGGAAAAUGGAGGCACCCUGGCAGUGAGUGAAGACAUUGCCUGAAGGACGCAGAGGGACUGACAGGUGUUGGAGUGUCAUGCAAGGAAGAGGAUGUUGUUUUCGACAAAGUGAAGCAAACACUCAGGCAGUCAUCAGAGCACGGUGAUGGCCUGUCACUCGCAGCCCCUGACAGCUUUGCCAGCUCCCCAUUUUCCUGCCCCUCCCCUCACCCCUCCAGGAGCACGCUUGUCCUCCUGGCCUGGCCUUCCCAGCGGCAGAGCUAAGUGGGGUCCAUGAUUUUCAAGUGCCUCUCUGAGAGAAGACUGAAAAAAGCAAUUAGAAGUUGCCAGAAUUGCUUGGAGAAGAGGCCAGCCCUAACAACAAGGAGGCGGACAGCAGGGGUGUGCGAUGGCUUUAAUCUGUACCAUAUCAUCAGUCUUGGGUCGCUCACAGUAAACCCAGAGCUCUGCAAGGACAAGAACAGGCUCUGUUUUGCUCGUUGCUGGGUCUCCAGAGCCUGAAGGGCACCUGGCACAGAGCACAUUCUGUUAACGUGGCCGAAUGUAUUCGGGGAGAAUUUGGUUCCCGAAGUUCCCUUCUCUAAUCUUCCUGGGGUAGCCUUCACCUGCCUCCUAGGAAUGGCAUCAAGAGGGGUCACGUGCACUGCUGUCUUCUGCCAAGGCUCCAGCUUCCUCUUUGCGCCUCACCUAAAAUUCACCCUUCCUGCUGCCUGCCUUCCCUGACCCGUGUGACCUGCCACAGUGUGGCCCUCCCCGUGGACACCACAACCCGCUCAGAGAUGGGUGGCUGGGUCCCCAGCAAGCUGGCCUUUGGCUGACGUGUCUGUAGAGUUGGGACAAAUCUGGGGUGUUUGGCACCACUGCAGGGCUCCCUGGUCCUCUUUUCGGUGUCCUGGCUGUCACCUCUCCCUGGCUACCCCCCAUCCACUGCCCUGCCAUGCAUGGCUCCCCCCACCCGGCUCCCGGCUCAGUGCCCCUGCCCGCGUGUGGAGGGGGACCUGUGGGAAGGCAGCCAGUGCGCGUGGGGAAGGGAGGGCAGGUCUCACCCAGCUGUAUUUCCAGGAGGAAAUACUUCCCACUCACUUCCCCCUAGUGAGGAUGGGGGACAGGGAAUUGGGAUAUUGGGAAAACAAAACUUCAGAGAGCCCCAGGAAUCAGAAUGUGGAGAUGUGGCAGAGCCCUGAGUGCCGAAACCACCCAAAUCCACUUCACUGUCUGCUUAUUACUCGAACCAGAUGCAAACAGGACUACAGGCUGCCCUCGGUCCUCCACGCCAUCGUCUUAUCUUGCAUGGCCCACCGGCACCCACCACUCACCAGACUCCAGCCCAGCUUCGGGGUCUGCAUGGGUGCUGGGCACUGCAGGGCUGGGGGCCGUGAAGGACACCCUCACUGAGCCCCUGACCCUGCAGCUAAUGGGGGACAGCAGUCAGCAAAGAAUAACCUCACAAAUACUUAUUUCCCUCCCUCCCUUAAGAGGUUAAAAAUCUGUCCACUAUAGAAAUGAAAAGCAUGGGAUUGUAGAGAUAAAAAUUAAAAAUAAAAAUUACCUAUAAUUCUGGCACCCAGAAAUAUUCACUUUAAUAAAGCAUUCAAUUUUAUAAGCAAAAUUUUAAAUUUAUUAUAUUGUGAGCUUGCUCAUGUCAUUAAUUUUUGUAAAAUUUGAAUCUUAGUGACUACCUAGGGCUCCAUUUAUUUCACCAAUCCCCUGUUGUUGGACAUUUAUGUCUUUUCCAAAUUUUCACCAUCAUAAAAAAUGCUGCAGUGAACAUCCUAGAAGAUAAAUCUUUGUGACUCUUUCUAAUUAAUUCAUUAAGAUAAAUUCCUAGGGUUAAUUCCAUUCCAUUCCAUUUGUAAAAACAAUGUGUCAAAAGGGAUGAUUGUAUUCAAAGCUUUUCGGACAUAUCACCAAGAUGCACCCUGGGGAGAUCACAUCACUGAAAAUCCCAAUGGAAGUAGACAAGAGUCUAACUCCGUGAACCCAGCCAGCACAGUUUCCUUCCCGCCCCACUACCCAACCAAAUUUGACAGACAAAAAAAAGAUACUUUAUUAGUUUUUUUUCAUUCCAUCAGCAAGUUUGAAUGUUCUUUAUAUGUUCUUGACUCAUUCACAUUUUGUCUUUUAGAAAAUUUCUAUUUGUAUCCUUUGUUGAUCU